GCAAGUCGAGCGCGCCCUUCGGGGUGAGCGGCGGACGGGUGAGUAACGCGUGGGAACGUGCCCUUUGCUGCGGAAUAGCCACUGGAAACGGUGAGUAAUACCGCAUGAGCCCUUCGGGGGAAAGAUUUAUCGGCAAAGGAUCGGCCCGCGUUGGAUUAGGUAGUUGGUGGGGUAAUGGCCUACCAAGCCGACGAUCCAUAGCUGGUUUUAGAGGAUGAUCAGCCACACUGGGACUGAGACACGGCCCAGACUCCUACGGGAGGCAGCAGUGGGGAAUCUUAGACAAUGGGCGCAAGCCUGAUCUAGCCAUGCCGCGUGAGUGACGAAGGCCCUAGGGUCGUAAAGCUCUUUCGCCUGUGAUGAUAAUGACAGUAGCAGGUAAAGAAACCCCGGCUAACUCCGUGCCAGCAGCCGCGGUAAUACGGAGGGGGUUAGCGUUGUUCGGAAUUACUGGGCGUAAAGCGCGCGUAGGCGGAUUGGAAAGUUGGGGGUGAAAUCCCGGGGCUCAACCCCGGAACUGCCUCCAAAACUUCCAGUCUGGAGUUCGAGAGAGGUGAGUGGAAUUCCGAGUGUAGAGGUGAAAUUCGUAGAUAUUCGGAGGAACACCAGUGGCGAAGGCGGCUCACUGGCUCGAUACUGACGCUGAGGUGCGAAAGUGUGGGGAGCAAACAGGAUUAGAUACCCUGGUAGUCCACACCGUAAACGAUGAAUGCCAGUCGUCGGCAAGCAUGCUUGUCGGUGACACACCUAACGGAUUAGGCAUUCCGCCUGGGGAGUACGGCCGCAAGGUUACAACUCAAAUGAAUUGACGGAA
rnacentral:rRNA from 1 species